UACAGAGGGUGCGAGCGUUGUCCGGAAUCACUGGGCGUAAAGGGCGCGUAGGUGGCGACCCAAGUCUGUGGUGAAAGCUCGCCGCUUAACGGCGAGUCGGCCACGGAUACUGGGUGGCUCGAGCACUGUAGGGGCAGAUGGAAUUCCGGGUGUAGCGGUGGAAUGCGUAGAGAUCCGGAAGAACGCCGGUGGCGAAGGCGGUCUGCUGGGCAGUAGCUGACACUGAGGCGCGACAGCGUGGGGAGCAAACAGG
rnacentral:rRNA from 1 species